GGGGCUUUAGCUCAGUUGGUAGAGCAUCUGCUUUGCAAGCAGGGGGUCAGCGGUUCGAGUCCGCUAAGCUCCA
rnacentral:tRNA from 1 species